rnacentral:lncRNA from 1 species
GCUCGUUUACGCGGUGCGGAUCAAUGAACGUUUUCAUAGUAAGCGAGUACUGACAAAGUAAGGACACGGUUGAUUGGUGACGACUUUUCUUUGUGUGUCUCUAGAGACUAGUAGAGACUUUCCAAUUGUUCUUCCACCUUCUGGCUGGUGAUAGUUAUUACGCUGUUGAUUUUGAAACCGCCAAUGAACAUAUUUUCCAUACCCGUGAUAAAUAAAACGUCGGUCGGCUUUCAAUACCAAAUUUAAUCGAUUGGAGGAGUUUCUAGCACAACUGCGUCAGUAGGAAGAAUAGGAUCUAUCACCUGCAUGAUUUGUUGUUAACACUUUAGAAUCAACAUAAGUCUA